rnacentral:rRNA from 1 species
CACGUAGGGCGCAAGCGUUGUCCGGAAUUAUUGGGCGUAAAGAGCUCGUAGGCGGUCUGUUGCGUCCGCUGUGAAAACUCGGGGCUUAACCCCGAGCCUGCAGUGGAUACGGGCAGACCAGAGGUAGGUAGGGGAGAAUGGAAUUCCCGGUGUAGCGGUGAAAUGCGCAGAUAUCGGGAGGAACACCGGUGGCGAAGGCGGGUCUCUGGGCCGAUACUGACGCUGAGGAGCGAAAGCGUGGGGAGCGAACAGG